GAAAGUUACUAAGGGCGCAUGGGGAAUGCCUAGGCUCUCAGAGGCGAAGAAGGACGUGAUAAGCUGCGAAAAGCACCGGGGAUCCGCAAAUAGGAAUCGAUCCGGUGAUGUCCGAAUGGGGAAACCCGUAUUGAUGAAGUCAAUACAUCCUGGCAACAGGAAGCAAACCCGGAGAACUGAAACAUCUAAGUACCCGGAGGAAGAGAAAACAACAGUGAUUCCGUAAGUAGUGGCGAGCGAAAGCGGAAGAGCCCAAACCCUUCCCGUUAAGGCGGUAAGGGGGUAGUAGGACCACAUUUAGUUAGUAUUAACGAAUCGGAAUUACCUGGGAAGGUAAGCCAGAGAGGGUGAAAGCCCCGUACGGGCAAGUUAGUAUUGAUGAGUGGUAUCCUGAGUAAGGCGGGGUCGGAGACGCCCCGUUUGAAACAGCCGGCACCAUCCGGUAAGGCUAAAUACUACUGAGAGACCGAUAGUGAACCAGUACUGUGAAGGAAAGGUGAAAAGAACCUUGAAUAAAGGAGUGAAAUAGAACCUGAAACCAUGCGCUUACAAGCGGUCAGAGCCCCUUCGUGGGGUGAUGGCGUGCCUUUUGCAUAAUGAGCCUACGAGUUGCACCUCUUUGGCAAGGUUAAGUACUUAUAGGUACGGAGCCGGAGCGAAAGCGAGUCUGAAAAGGGCGUAUAGUCAGAGGGGGCAGACGCGAAACUUUGUGAUCUACCCAUGACCAGGUUGAAGGGUGGGUAACACCACCUGGAGGACCGAACUAAUGAGCGUUGAAAAGCUCUUGGAUGAGUUGUGGGUAGGGGUGAAAGGCUAAUCAAACUGAGAAAUAGCUCGUACUCCCCGAAAUGUCUUUAGGGACAGCCUCGAGGUUAAGUUUUAAAGAGGUAGAGCUACCAAUUGGACUAGGGGGUGUCACAACCUACCAAAUCCAGAUGAACUCCGAAUGCUUUAAAAUAUACUCGGGAGUGAGGGCUGGGGUGCUAAGGUCACAGUCCGAAAGGGAAAGAACCCGGAUCAACAGCUAAGGUCCCAAAAUCUACUCUAAGUUGAACUAAGGUAGUCCAGCUGCAGAGACAGCCAGGAGGUUUGCUUGGAAGCAGCAAUUCCUUUAAAGAGUGCGUAACAGCUCACUGGUCGAGCGGCAGGGCAUCGAUAAUAAACGGGCAUCAAGAGUAGUACCGAAGCUAUGAAUGUAGAAAUACGUGGUAGGGGAGCAUUCUGUUCAGCGGCGAAGGCCAGUUGUAAGACUGACUGGAGCGGAUAGAAAAGCAAAUGUAGGCAUAAGUAACGAUAAAAUAGGUGAGAAACCUAUUCGCCGAUAGACUAAGGUUUCCUGAUCAACGUUAAUCGGAUCAGGGUUAGUCGGGACCUAAGGAAAAGCCGAAAGGCGUAUCCGAUGGACAUCAGGUUAAUAAUCCUGAACCGGCAUUAUGAGCGAUGGGGAGACGGAGUAGUGACACAUCUGCGCACAGACGGAAUUGUGCGUUAAAUCCAGUAGGUAUAGAGAGGGUAGGCAAAUCCGCCCACUUUGCUGAAAGGAGACAGUACCAAGCGGCUUCGGCCAAUUGGAUAAUGAUGGUAAACAGACUUCCAAGAAAAUCCUCUAAGCAUAUUAUAAUGCAGCCCGUACCGCAAACCGACACAGGUAGUCAAGGAGAGAAUCCUAAGGCGCUCGAGUGAGUCACGGCUAAGGAACUCGGCAAAUUAACCCUGUAACUUCGGAAGAAGGGGUGCCCUGAGCAAUCAGGGCCGCAGUAAAAUGGCCCAGGCGACUGUUUAACAAAAACACAUGGCUUUGCGAAAUUGCAAGAUGAAGUAUAAGGCCUGACACCUGCCCGGUGCUGGAAGGUUAAGGGGGGAUGUUAGCCGCAAGGCGAAGCAUUGAACUGAAGCCCCAGUAAACGGCGGCCGUAACUAUAACGGUCCUAAGGUAGCGAAAUUCCUUGUCGGGUAAGUUCCGACCUGCACGAAUGGUGUAACGAUC
rnacentral:rRNA from 1 species